UAUGUGAUCGUCUCUCGCAUAUCAAUAAGCGGAGGAAAAGAAACUAACAAGGAUUCCCCUAGUAACGGCGAGUGAAGCGGGAAGAGCUCAAAUUUGAAAUCUUAAAGGGUUUCCCUUUACGAAUUGUAGUUUAAAGAAGUGUUUUCUGUUGAGGUUUUGGUAAAAGUUCUUUGGAAUAGGACAUCAUAGAGGGUGAGAAUCCCGUAUUUGACCUUUACUUUCAACUUUGUGAUACACUUUCAAAGAGUCGGAUUGUUUGGGAAUGCAGUCCAAAAUGGGUGGUAAAUUUCAUCUAAAGCUAAAUAUUGGCGAGAGACCGAUAGCGAACAAGUACCGUGAGGGAAAGAUGAAAAGAACUUUGAAAAGAGAGUUAAACAGUACGUGAAAUUGUCAAAAGGGAAGCGUUUGACACCAGUGUUGUUUUUCUGAAAAUCAAUUAAAGAACUGUUUAUGCUAAGUUGUUUAGACUUUAUCAGCUAUCUGUUUAGUUUUGAGCUUUUCUUUAAUGCACUUUUCAGUUAACAAGUCAGCAUCAAUUUCUUUUGCUGUAAAAAAGCUUGAGGAAGGUGGCUUGAGAUUCGUCUUAAGUGUUUAUAGCCUCUUGCCUAUGCAGUCGGAGAGAUUGAGGUCUGCAGCGUAGAUCCUUCGGGGCUAAAUGCAUUUGUGCUAAGUUAUAGCAUUUUAUAGACAACUUGUUGACUAUGAUUUGUCUUGUAGCUUACUCGCUUAUGUUAUUUUACCUACGCUUAGGAUGUUGAUCUGUAGUGCGUGCGC
rnacentral:rRNA from 1 species